rnacentral:rRNA from 1 species
AUUGAACGCUGGCGGCAUGCCUUACACAUGCAAGUCGAACGGUAACAGGUCUUCGGAUGCUGACGAGUGGCGAACGGGUGAGUAAUACAUCGGAACGUGCCCGAUCGUGGGGGAUAACGAGGCGAAAGCUUUGCUAAUACCGCAUACGAUCUACGGAUGAAAGCGGGGGAUCUUCGGACCUCGCGCGGACGGAGCGGCCGAUGGCAGAUUAGGUAGUUGGUGGGAUAAAAGCUUACCAAGCCGACGAUCUGUAGCUGGUCUGAGAGGAUGAUCAGCCACACUGGGACUGAGACACGGCCCAGACUCCUACGGGAGGCAGCAGUGGGGAAUUUUGGACAAUGGGCGAAAGCCUGAUCCAGCCAUGCCGCGUGCAGGAUGAAGGCCUUCGGGUUGUAAACUGCUUUUGUACGGAACGAAAAGCCUCUUUUCUAAUAAAAGAAGGG